UACAGAUUACUAAUUCAUUCCAAAGGCUGUAUAGAGGUUAAUCUCAACUGUUGCAUGUAGAUAUUUUUGUAAAUACCCAACCGAGGACGAAGAUUUUGUAUGUUUUCAUAAUUGCAUGCUGGAGGUCAUAAUAUUCAUAGUCUAGAACUUCUUUGACCAUUGAAAUUUCCUAGUCAAGUUUCGAAUUACUGUCUGUUAAUGAAGCAUCACAUUUUCUUAAAGCCCAAACUUUUCUCUUCCAGCUGCUUGAUAAUGUGGAAAACAAGAUGAAGGGCACGUGUGUGGAAGGCACCAUACCUAAAUUGUUCAGAGGCAAAAUGGUGGUAUGUGGCUACCAGCUUUAGAGAAUGAUUUUAAGAUGAUUUAAGAACGCUACGAUAGCGACAAUUAACACUUAAGCCCUCUUAUUUUCCUUAUUUGUAGUCCUAUAUCCAGUGUAAAGAAGUAGACUAUCGAUCCGAUAGGAGAGAAGAUUAUUAUGAUAUCCAGCUAAGUAUAAAAGGAAAGAAAAACAGUAAGUUCCGUGUACAUAACCUUGGCCUUCCGCUCAUUUCUGUUUUGGUUUCAUGCUUCAUUGACCCCGGUGAUUUUCAUUGAAAGCUAGUGCAGACAGAGACCCCCGCCCGAGUGAUGAGUGAACAGCCUCACAAGUGAACGCAGGCUCGCGGCCCCACACGGGUCACACAUCACGAUGCCUGCCGCCCACACGUUGGUUCUUCCCGGCCACGACCUCCUCGUCUCAAAGGAGAACCGCUGUUUGGCCUUUUAACACCCCCCCCCCCCCCCCCGUUAUUUUUGCCUGUUUUAAGUAUUUAUAGAGAUGGGAUCGUACACGCUACACAGCCCCUGCUUCUCUCCUUUUGCCCAGCGCCACAUCUGUGCAUCGUGCAUAUCGCGAGGAGCGGUGGUAACUUGAUGGUUUUCGUUGCUUUACGCUACUCCACGUGAGGAGGAUGCCGCAGGUUUUAGGGAACCACUCUUCCCUUGGUAGAUGUUUGCGUUUUCAGUGUGUGGUGCUCGGACAUAAGGUUCCUUUCCCGUUGCUGUGCCCAUCUCUGGCACGCAUCCUUCUGCGUUCACGGUGAGCGGAAUUGUAGGCUCCAAGGGUACGCGUAUACAUUCGGUGGGUGAGGCCAGCGAGGCUCCCAGAGCAGUCUGUUGAUCUCUGUUCCCCAGCCAUGUGUGACAGUGGCCAUCUCUCUGCAUCCACAGCAGGACCACUGGUCAGCAGUCUGGACAUUUUGGUGAGAGUGUGGCACUCUUGCUGUCUGUAUGCAUUUCCCCAAAGGUCAGCGAGAUGGUCACCUUUCCGGCUGCUUACUGGCAAUUUGGAUGUCUUCUUGAACAUCUGGGAUGGAGUUAAUAAUAGUUGAUGUCCUUGAUUGCCAGUUUUGUCACCUGUGAUUUCUGGGUUGGUUUCUGUUGAUUCACUUUGCUCUUCAUCAGGGGCUGUUUUCCAGCUUCCUUGCAUGUCUGGUCCUCUUAGUGGAUGCCUGCCAUUGUGAUUUUUACCUUGUUCGGGUAUGGACGUUCUUCACUUUUUUUCUGGGACCUGUUGGAGUUGCUUGGACACCAUGUGAUUCUUUGGAGGCUUGUUUUUACGCCCUGUCCGGUGGGAGCACAGCAGUUUGUGGUUAGCGCUACAUGGGCCACCACCUGAGGCCGUGCCCGGAGCUCCGUGUACAAGGAGGCUUUUCACCGUGGCUGGAGGGAACACAGACUGUUCCCAGGCUCGCGUGUCCUCUGGGGGCUGUACCCCCGGCCUCUGGGUGGUUCUUUCCCUGCCCCCAGAUAAGUCUUCACCCUGCUUGCUGGUCAGCCCUCCCUGGGGGCUCUGGGAGAGCUGCCGCUUUCUUCUUGGGCACUCUGCGCUGCAGAUGGCAGCUGCUGUGGGCCCUGUUUGGGUUUCUCUCCCACACGGUGAGCUGGGACAGUUGAACUGCUCUUACCCAUCAUGGUCCCGUACCGCCUGUUUUCCCGGGCCUGAAACCUCUUUUGGACGGGACAGUCCCGGGGUCCUUGUCCAGCGCAGGAGAGUGUGCCUGGUGCCUCUCCUUCCUGAGGGAGCCGUGACGGGCAGGGAGCCGGGCAGGAGCCAUUCUCAGUGCUCUGGGCACUGGCCCGGCUGUGUUGCUGAGCUGCUCCCUCUGUGGGGCUCACCUAUUUUCACUCUUCUAAGUUUGCCAUGUGUUUAAUGGAAUUGCAGAAUUUUAGUGAAAUCACCGGAUUUUUUCUUUGCUUUUUGUGUCCUAAGAACAUCUGUCCUGAAGUCAUAAGGUCGUCUCUGAUUUGUUACUGUUUUAUCUUUUCUGUUUGUCUACAAUCCCCACACAGUGGUGUUUUGCAUGUGGUAGGAUGUCAAGACCGACCCACCUGAGACUGUGGGUCUCAGGUGAUCCCGUCACAUUUUCCGCGUUGCUCUCCACCUUUGUUAGCGGCCAGUUGCUCAUAUUUGUGUGGGUUUGUUUUUAGAUUCUUGCUUCUGGUCCACUGGUUCUCCCUGAGCAAAUUGUACACCUCCCACCCCCAGCUUUAUUUUGGUUAAAUUGACAAAAUGUUAGGAUAUUCAAAGUGUACGUUGUGAUCGUUGCGGAUAUACUGUGAAAGGAGUGCUCUGUCCCAGUGACCACCUUGACACGUCCCUUCUUCAUCGCGCGCGCACGUGCAUGAGAGAAUAUUUAAGUGCUGCACUCUUGGCAAACUUCAGUUAGACAACAGGAUGUUGAGCCCUUGUCACCGUGUUCUGCGUUAGGUCCUUAGUCCUUCUCUGAUGGCUGGAAGUUUGCACCCUUUCACCUUGACCCCACGUUCCUGCUCUAUCUACACGGUCUUUCUUACAGCUCUAUGUAUGGGUUAGAUUUUGUACUUUAACGGUACUUGAUUUUGGUAAAGCUAUUAAAACACUUGAUUCCGUGUUACAGCUUCAAACACCCUCAAGGAACCGUGUCAGUGUUCUCAGGGGUCCGGGUUUUCAUGGAGCAGCGGGGGCUUGGUGGCCGUCCGGGGCAGGGGCUGGAGGCCACCACUGGUGUCCUCCCUGGCAAGCUUGAGCGCAUGGGGCAGCCGUGCCGUCAUGAAGGCCUUUAGUGAGACCAUUGGCUGACUGACUCUCUCUCUCUCUCUCUGAAGUAUUUGAAUCAUUUGUGGAUUACGUGGCCGUGGAACAACUAGACGGCGACAAUAAAUACGACGCCGGGGAGCACGGCUUGCAGGUAAUGCGGGAACGAUGCGCUGCUUCAGUUGUGGACCAAACAGUCACUUGGAGCUUUUCAUAAGCUGCUCAGACCCAGAGCUCAAAGGAUUUGAAUUCUGAGUGCAGCCAUUACAUCUUGGGAGCUGCGAUCACACGGCGGGGGUGGGGGCUGGGGGGGGGGGGUUGCAGCUCGUUUCUCAGGUAAGCCUGUCACCCAGCACACGGCGUUUUCUCACUGUGUCUUUCCCCCCUGCUCCUGGCCUCAGUGCUGCCCACGCAGAGCUUUUCCUCCGCUUCUCCGGCUGCGGUGGACUUUGUCGCUCGGACUGCACUUUGGGGUGCAUGUGUGGGGUGCAGUUAGUUUUUGAAAGGGUCGUGACUUAGAGGAUAAGGAGUGCGUCUUCUGUCCUGGUUCUGUGAACCCGGGCUGUCCCUGCUUAUCUUCCACAAGGCCCCGCAGGGACCCGAAGCUUCUGGCAGAGCAGUGAGCCUUGUGGACCGGUGACUGGUCAGGUGGAGAGACACGGCCUGGGGCACGAUCGGUGGGGCCAGCAGCGCCCUCGCAGACGCAGCCAUCCAGGGUCUGUGUUGCAGACUCCUAACCCGGACACAUCGGCUCAGCCAGUUGCCAAUUUCUCAGACCGUCCUGCUUGCCAGGCUUGCCGAUUUAUAAUUCAUGGUGCUGAUGUGCCCCCUGUUUCAGUGGGCCUCGGAUCUGCUCUUCUCCUGCUUGGUCAGGCCACUCAGGGAUGCUGCACUGUGGAUCAGAAAGUCACGUUGCAGACACGCAGCUAGACGUGCUCAGGGAGCACUGCAGUCAGCUCACGAGAAUUGCCUUGUCCACAGUGGGUUUGGGGGUCUGGGUGAGCAGUACAUAGUAUUUUAGAAUCACAGUCACAAUGGACCGUGGUGGAGGAACAAUUCUUUGAUUCUUUCAAGGUGUAGGAAAACCAUGCCAUUCCUUUGUGUGGCAGGAGGUUCCCAGGUUUUCAUUUUUCUUUCCAGAGAAACCUUGCCCUCGUAAGCACACUGAUUCAGCAUCAGAGAACAUUGUGGCUUGUCACAGCCCCGUUCCUCCGGGUGGACAUAGCCCAGAAGCAAGGUCUGAAUUGAAAGUGGAGCUGUGACAGGACCCCCGGUGGCCUGCUGGUGGCUGAGUUUUCCAGAGAGGCUUAUUUUAGUGAGCAGACCGGAGUCGGGCCUGCAGGGUGGGCCUCAUUCAGGAGUGGGCGAGUCCCACAGCACAGAGACUUGAGUUGCUGGUACUGAGGACAGUCUUCAGAAGCGGGUUGGACUGAGCACUGAGGGCGCGCUCUGACGCGAAGGUCCCGAAAGUCCAGGGUGAGGGAAGCUGAUCUAGUCUAGACCUCCCGGCGCAUGAUUGUCUGUGCCUCUGCCUGUUCUGUCCAGGUGUCUGUGGACACCUCGAACCUUACAGAAUUGUAAUCCUAGGCUUCUGCCUCUCCAUUUAAUGACUUGCUGUGCUUUUCCAUGUAUUUUCCAUCAUGUUUAAUGAGCGUAUAACAUGGCAGCAUGAUUAAGCCCCCAUUCACCUGGCUAUUGCCUGUGGUUGGGCCUCAGAGAGAACAUAACCCAAAAUAAACCUCGCACAUGAGCUGCUGCUGCAUGGUCUCAGUUUUGGUAGCAGACGUGGUGAAGGUCUAAGUAGAACAUCUUAUUUUAUUUAAAAAAAUUUUUUUAAUGUUUAUUUAUUAUUGAGAGACAGAGCAUGAGCAGGGGAGGGGCAGAGAGAGGGGGAGACACAGAAUCCGAAGCAGGUUCCAGGCUCUGAGCUGUCAGCACAGAACCCAACGUGGGGCUCGAACCCGUGAACCGGGAGAUCAUGACCUGAGCCGAAGUCGGACACUUAACCGACUGAGCCACCCAGGUGCCCCUUAAAUAUUUAUUUUUGAGAACUAGUGAGUGGGGAUGGUGGGGGGGAUGGGGCGGAGGUGGAGUGGGGGGGUGGAUAGAGGGUCUGAAGUGGGCUCUGUGCUGACAUCAGAGGAGAUGAUGUGGGGCUUGAACUCAUGAACCACAAGAUCAUGACCUAAGCUAUUUUUAGUUUUUUUACUUGAAAUGUAGUUGACAUGCACUAUUUUAUUUUAGGUGUGCCAUGUAAGAUUUGGUGUUGAGCAUUAUGAAAUGCUCACCACGACAGGCCUAGUGGCUCUCUGUCCCCACAUAGCGUUCUCAGUGUCACUACGUUGUACUUUGAAUCUGUGACCUGUUUAUUUUAUAACUGGAAGUUAGUGCCUCUUGAUCCCCCUCACCUAUUUUGUCACAUCCUCCAGCCCCUGCCCACCGAAAACCACCCAUUUGUUCUCUGCUUAUGGGCCUGAACAUUUUCAAAGCACCCCGCCUUGGAUCCCGUAAACCACCCCCACCCCCGUCUUGCCAGCCGCCGUUGUUGCCCUUGUUCCAGGGACAAAGUAGGGCCCAACUAAACUUGGUUUCUUUUCCAAUGUUCAGGAAGCAGAGAAAGGUGUGAAGUUCCUAACUUUGCCACCAGUGUUACAUCUGCAGCUGAUGAGAUUUAUGUAUGACCCUCAGACGGACCAAAAUAUCAAGAUCAAUGAUAGGUAAUCUAUUGUGGGGUGUUAAAGUUAAGAUUGAAUCAUCACCUGACUUCGGGGAGUCGGUCUCCAUGCUUUGUUUGUCUUUUUAUAAUGUCAGUUCAUCUCCGAUGUACUUGGGAGUUCCCUUGUGCCUCAGUUUCCCAAGAAGUAUAAUUUUAAAGGGAUAAUUUCCUUUAAGAGUUUCAGAGGCUCCUCCUCCCAUAACUCCCUCUACUGGAACCCUGCCCCCCUCUGUGCUGUGGCGGAUGGACGUCCUGGGGAGGUGGGGGGGGGGGGGGGGGGGGGGGGGGGGGGGAGGGUGCUUUCUGUUCGACCCGAUGUAGCUUAGCUGUUUGCUCAGGAGUGGGAUUUGAUGUUCCCGUAUUAUUUUGUACUCUCCGUAUCAACUUCUAGAACGUGUUGGAAUUUUCAAGAAGAGGAUGUAGAUGGACUUGUGUGCUUUACUGCCAGUGUUUUCAAAAUUGCAGAUAAAAAGGAAUGAUAGUACACACACCCUUACCUGGUUCAGAAUACAUUAUUUUUGUCCUGGUUAGUUUGAGCUCAGGAUAGGGUGGUUGGUCAGUCCCCCCAUGGAACUGGAGCGAGAGUGGACCCAGUCCGAUUAUUUGCCACCAGCUGGGUCUUUGCCGGCUCCUCGUUGUCCACGAUCGUGGAGUGUGUAGUAAAGAAACCGUCCCCACCAGACCUCACACGUCAGCAGCGCGCAGACUAAGCCCCACCUGCUGGUGGGUGUCGUUGGGUCCUCACCUUGCUUUUGUUUCUGCUUUUGGAAUUAGUUGCCAACGUUAAAACAAAACAGAUCAAAACCUUGAGAUUUCACAUAAAAGCCCAGAUUUCUGGCAUCUUUUAGGAAUUCAGAACAUGUGGCAGCGCAGCCAGAAUCGCUGAGGGCGGCACCGGGGGCGCCGAGCCGGCUGCCCCUGGAGACUCCAUGCGCCGCUCUCCUCCGCGUCUUCGCCGAGCUGCCUGCCCUUCUUCCUGUCUCUCAAGGCCCUCCUAGUAAUUAAUCGUGACCCUGUUAUUAAAAUGCUUAUGGAUCCAGUAAUUUACAAACAAAUCAAGUUCAGAUGUCUCCCGAAAUCCCAGGGUGUACGGGAUCCUUUCUCACGUGUGUCCCCUGUCAGAUUCGAUCCCUCCAGGUUUCUCAAACCUGCAGCGUGUCCUCAGUGGUCUUGGUCCAGGACAGUGGGAAUCACUCAUUAAUACAUUUGCAGCCAUCCACAUCCUAGACAAGUCCUGGUGUGUGUUUGUCCUGAGACUGGCUGUUGUGUGACAUCCUCAGCUUAGAAAUCUGUUGGGUGUCUCCAUGCGUUGUGCGCGUCUUUUCUCAUACCUAGCUUCACAUUUUGUACUGAUGUGUGAAUAAUUGUCCUAAUGAAUAGGAGCCGCCACAGAAGUCCUUCGGAGGGCCUCCCGAGUCAGAGUGAUACUUCUCUUUCCACAUAAAGACGAGCCAGUAAAUUAGAACGUCUAGCAAUAAAGUCUCCACAUGAAAUAUUUUACAUGUCAGUGAAACCUGGAUUUCUUUAAAAAUGUUUUUUUAAUAGGUUUGAAUUCCCAGAACAGUUACCACUCGAUGAAUUUUUGCAAAAAACAGAUCCUAAGGACCCUGCAAAUUAUAUUCUUCACGCAGUCCUGGUUCACAGUGGAGAUAAUCAUGGUGGACAUUACGUGGUUUAUCUAAACCCCAAAGGGGACGGCAAAGUAAGUGCCGGGCAGGGGGCGGAGUCAGAUGUCAUGGUGUGUGGGGCACUCACCCAGCGCUCAGCUUCGCCUUUUCCUCUCCCAACCCGAUGGCCUGAAUAGUGCAGGAUUCCACCCUGGGCUCUGAUUUAUCUGUGUUCCCGUGCAUGAAUGGCUGAUACCUUAAAGGUGAUAGUGAAUGAGUGCUUGCACUUGACGUAUGCACUGAAGUAGCCUUGAACAUUGGACCGUUAUCAUUGCAUAUCUAAUGGGAGGCACUUGCUCUCCACUUAAGAAAUCCUUGGGCAGGUGGGAAUGCAAGCUGGUGCAGCCACUCUGGAAAACAGUGCGGAGGUUCCUCAAAAAAUUAAAAACAGAACUACCCUACUAUCCAGCAAUUGCACUACUAGGCAUUUAUCUAAGGGAUACAGGGAUGCCGUUUCGAAGGGGCACAUGCACCCCAAUGUUUAUAGCAGCACUUUCAACAAUACCCAAAAUAGGGGAAGAGCUCAAAUGUCCAUUGACAGAUGAAUGGGUAAAGAAGAUGUGGUAAUAUCUAUACAAUGGAAUAUGACUCGGCAAUCAAAAAGAAUGAAUUCUUGCCAUUUGCAACCACGUGGAUGGAACUGGAGCGUAUUUUGCUAAGUGAAAUUAGUCCGAGAAAGACACGUAUCGUAUGACUUCACUCAUAUGAGGACUUUAAGAGACAAAACAGAUGAACAUAAGGGAAGGGAAACAAAAAUAAUGCCAAAACAGGGAGGGAGACAAAACAGAAGAGACUCUUAAAAAUGGAGAACAAACUGAGGGAUACUGGAGGGGUUGUGGGGGGGGGGGGGAUGGGCUAAAUGGGUAAGGGGCACUCAGGAAUCUUCUCCUGAAACCAUUGUUCCACUCUGUGCUGACUAACUUGGAUGUAAAUUUAAAAAAGACAGAAAGGAAGGAAGGAAGGAAGAAAUGCUUGGGCGGGGGAGGCUGGAUGAAUCACACGUUCUGCGCGCCUGCUUGUCUGUGCCGCGUGAUGCUCCGUCGCGUCAGGGGUGAGGGUGUCCUCAGGGUCUGUGUCCAGGAUCGUAGCGCCAGUGCAGAACAGAGCGGAGGCCGAGCCCACCUCCCUCAUGUGAGGAGACUCGGACAGGGGCUGCUCACGCAGCCCCAGACCACGACGAACCUUUCCCUGCAAGACUUCGUGCCGUUUAGAACACCUCGACCCACAAUGAAGAGAUCAGAAGGGAAGUACUCUGUACAACUCUGCUGACCUUUUCUUGAGCCAGGUCCUCUCUUGCUGCGAUAACGUAUCCUAUCAAAUGUCCUGUUGAAUUUUGUAAGCACACGGUAAAAUCUCCAGUUUUACCGAGGAAGUCAGGUGUGCUCGGUAUGAUUUUCUCAGAUCUGCAAAGAGUGGUACUGUCGGGAGAUUGAAUCUGAUUCGAAGUGGGCCAUUUGAGCAUGUGACGGAAUUGCCGAGGGACAGACUCACAGUGGCCCCAGAAUACGGGUGCUGGCUGGCCUCUUCCCCGAGGGGGCGCCUGGCCCGGCACCUCCCUGCAUCACUUGUAGGUAAACGCUGCCUCUCUGGUUGUGUGCUUCUCAAAGCGCUUUCUCUCUGCUGCGUCUUGUUGCCAGUGGUGUAAGUUCGACGACGACGUGGUGUCCAGGUGUACGAAAGAGGAGGCCAUCGAGCACAAUUACGGGGGUCACGAUGACGACCUGUCGGUGCGGCACUGCACGAACGCGUACAUGUUGGUUUACAUCAGGGAAUCAAAGCUGAGUGAGU
rnacentral:lncRNA from 1 species